rnacentral:rRNA from 1 species
AACGAACGCUGGCGGCGUGCUUAACACAUGCAAGUCGAACGAGAAAGUUCCUUCGGGGACGAUUAGAGUGGCGCACGGGUGAGUAAUACAUAGGAACGUACCAUUUAGUGGGGAAUAACCACGGGAAACUGUGGCUAAUACCGCAUAAUAUCGCAAGAUUAAAGGAGGCCUCUGCUUGCAUGCUUUCGCUGAAUGAUCGGCCUAUGUCCCAUUAGCUUGUUGGUAGGGUAAUGGCCUACCAAGGCAGUGAUGGGUAGCUGGUCUGAGAGGAUGAUCAGCCACACUGGGACUGAGACACGGCCCAGACUCCUACGGGAGGCAGCAGUGGGGAAUCUUGCACAAUGGGCGAAAGCCUGAUGCAGCAACGCCGCGUGAGUGAAGAAGGCCCCUUUGGGUUUGUAAAAGCUCUUUCAGAUAGGAAGAAGGGUGCAGCGGUUAAUACCCGCAGCAUUUGACGGUACUGUCAGAAGAAGCACCGGC